AGUGAACGCUGGCGGUAGGCCUAACACAUGCAAGUCGAACGAGUGGCGGACGGGUGAGGAACACAUCGGAAUUUACUCUUUUGUGGGGGUUAACGUAGGGAAACUUACGUUAAUACCGCAUUCGAUGGAAUGAGCCGAUGACGGAUUAGCUAGUUGGCGGGGUGAAGGCUCACUAAGGAAACGAUCCGUAGCGGGUCUGCGAGGAUGAUGGGCCACACGGGAACUGGGGUACGGUCCAAACGCCUACGGGAGGCAGCAGUGGAGAAUAUUGGACAAUGGGCGAAAGCCUGAUCGAGCCAUACCGCGUAGGUGAGGAGGGCCUUCGGGUUUUAAGGCCCUUUAAGUUGGGAGGCGUUACCGGCAGAAUAAGCACCGGCUAACUUCGUGCCAGCAGCCGCGGUAAUAC
rnacentral:rRNA from 1 species